UACGUAGGGGCCUAGCGUUGUCCGGAAUUAUUGGGCGUAAAGGACUCGUGAGAGCGGCUCGGUAAGUCCGCUGUGAAAGUCGGGGGGCUCAACCCUCGAAUGCCGGUGGAUACUGUCGGGCUAGAGUGCGGAAGAGGCGAGUGGAAUUCCUGGUGUAGCGGUGAAAUGCGCAGAUAUCAGGAGGAACACCGGUGGCGAAGGCGGGUCUCUGGGCAACAACUGACGCUGAGGAGCGAAAGCGUGGGGAGCGAACAGG
rnacentral:rRNA from 1 species